CUCUCCACACCCGCUCGCAGUGGCUCACCCCCUUCUCCGCCCACCCUUCCUCCGGAGCGCGCCGGAGGGGAGCCGCAGCCCGCGCGCGGCGGCGGCGGGGCCGGGAGGCGAAGGCGGUGGGUGUGUGCGUGUGUGUGAAGGACGCCACCUCUCUCUCGAUCCUGCUUUCUCAGGCGGCGGGCGGCGGGGCUGCAAGCUCCGGCAGCGGCGGUGGCAGCAGCGGCGGCUUCCGGAGUCCCGCCGCGAAGAUGCUCAAAGUCACGGUGCCCUCCUGCUCCUCCUCGUCCUGCUCUUCGGUCACCUCCAGUGUGGCCCCCGGGGCUGGGAGCGUCGUCUUGGAUUACUGGAUCGACGGUUCCAACAGGGAUGCUCUGAGCAAUUUCUUCGAGGUGGAGUCGGAGCUGGGACGGUAAGGCGGGGCGAGGCAGGUUCCCUGGACCAGGCGGAGCUCUGAGGCGCGGGCUAGGGCUGGGGACGCCUGCAGCGUGCACCGGGGUUGUCCCC
rnacentral:lncRNA from 1 species